rnacentral:other from 1 species
ACAUCCCUGCUCUGUGCGUGUUUUAAGAUGAUAAACUUUGAGCCAACAAUCAUUUCAUAGGGAGCUUGGAGUUUACCUCGGCUUUGGUCGUGGUAACAGGGCACCCACCUGGGAAACCGGGUUCAAGGUAUAUCGUCUACACGGCAGUAGCGGGGAUUUU